GAUUCAUCAACCCCUCUCCAGCCAGUCGGUCUCCCUUGUCCCUUGGAAACAUGCGCCAAGGUCCUAAGGGACAAGCUUGGUAGCUCAAAGGUCCCAUCUAGCUUCUUGGCCCCAGUUCUGGGCUCUGUCUAAAAACAAGACAUUGCUACCCCCAGCUGAUAGCGACUAGGAGAAGAAAGUGUUUGUGCCUGUGGCUGUAGUUUCGGCCAUUCCCCUGCCCCAGGGCUGAGUGUAAGACCUGCAGGGUGAGGAGCACACAGACGGGGCUAGAGACGUAAGGGUGAUACCUGGCCUGGAGGCUGUCCGGAGAGGCCCAUUUAUGUCUGUCCCCACAGCCAGUGCUGGUGCAUCGUGGGCCUAGGGCUCUAUUAACUUCUCUGUAGUAGAAGCAGAUGGAACAUAGCCCACCAAAUAUCCACAGGGCCCCCAGCUGGACUCCUGAGCCUUCAGCUAGGUGCCUCUUCACUGGCGGGACCCAAGACUCUGUCCAUGGUGCUAACCCUCACCCCACGCCUUGCCUCAACCCUGCACUCCUGAUCACCAACUCCAACGUCUCUGAAGACCUCCUCAUCUCGGGGAUGAAUUCUGAGCUCAUGUUCUGGACCGCUGCCAGGAAGAAGGACGCAGCGUUAGUUGAAAGCAUCACACAAAAGGCCGCAGGGCUCUUUGGUUUCUUUCUUCUGCAAUUGGAACGGGGUGACAUACGGAGAAGCUACAGAGAAAUGUUGGCUCCACCCUCUGCCAAGGGACUCAAAUCAGCAUUUGUUGACAUUUCUCAAGACACCCUCAGUGCUGGUGACAUUUCAGAGACCUGCUCUCUGACAGGGCUGGAGGAUGUGAACCUGACCCUGAAGCCUUUGCUCCAGACCCAGACCCACUGGAACAAACCUUGCCUUUCCUCCAGCACCUCCAACCAGUGCUGAAACUACCCGGGGGGCUCUGGUGCCAACUUGAAAAUGCUGACGAGGCAAGACUGGAGCAGGUGUGGGCUCAGUCCUUUCCUUACCAAGCUUCAACAUCUGCCUCUGUGGGAUGGAAGUCGCCGUCCUUGCUUCCCUGAGAAUAGAGUUGUGAGUGCAUAAUGGUGAGAAAAGGGAAGUGUUAUGUCUGCUGUGUACUGUUGUCCAAGUGUGAAGUUCAGAUGGAGGUAUUAGGGCCGGGGUAGGGGUACAGUGUGGAGGAUCAGCAGGUGCAGAGGCUGGUGGAACCAAUGACUCUGCCCAUUUCAUACAUUGGAGAGGGUCACUUGGUGGGUAGAGGUCAGCACAGGGAACCAGAGGGAUUCUUGGAUGCUCUUGUUGAAGCUAACAGAGAGCAACAGAGCUGUGGACCAUAUCAGAACCAGCCCAGUCUAAGGCUGGACCGCCCUGAACACGCCUGAUCUUGGGAACUAAGGGGGGUUGGGUCUGGUUGGUCCC